rnacentral:rRNA from 1 species
CAGCACCUCAAGUGGUCAGGAUGAUUAUUGGGCCUAAAGCAUCCGUAGCCGGCGCUGUAAGUUUUCGGUUAAAUCUGUACGCUCAACGUACAGGCUGCCGGGAAUACUGCAGCGCUAGGGAGUGGGAGAGGUAGACGGUACUCGGUAGGAAGGGGUAAAAUCCUUUGAUCUAUUGAUGACCACCUGUGGCGAAGGCGGUCUACCAGAACACGUCCGACGGUGAGGGAUGAAAGCUAGGGGAGCAAACCGGAUUAGAGACCCGAGUAGUCC